rnacentral:rRNA from 1 species
GACGAACGUUGGCGGCGUGCUUAAUACAUGCAAGUCCACUGAAGCAGUGGUAGCAAUAUCGCUGUGGCGGUUGCGCACGGGUGAGUAACACGUAGGUAAUCUGCCUUCAGGUCUGGCAUUACCCCGGGAAACCGGGGCUAAUAGCAGAUGAUGCAGCGGCUCGACAUCGAGACGGUUGUUAAAGCUCUGGCGCCUGGAGAUGAGCCUGCGUCUGAUUAGCUAGUUGGCGGGGUAACGGCCCACCAAGGCUUCGACCAGUAGCUGGGCAGAGAGGGUGAUGGGCAACAUUGGGACUGAGAUACGGCAUAGACUCCUACGGGAGGCAGCAGUGGGGAAUAUUGCACAAUGGGCGGAAGCCUGAUGCAGCAACGACGCGUGCGGGAUGACGGCCUUCGGGUUGUAAACCGCUUUCGCCUGUGACGAAGCGUGAGGGACGGUAAUGGGUAAAGAAGCACCGGCUAACUAAGUG